UUGACCAACUUGGGGGACUCGCAUAGGGAAGUGUAUUGAAAGUUGGUGCUGGUCGAGAAGUUCUUAUCCAGGACCCAAUUGUCGAGUCUUCCGAUUUGAGCGGCACGAGUUCGGGUCAAAUUUCUUCUGUGAUUAAAUCAAAAGUAAUAGAAGUAAAAUCCGCUUUUUCUUCGAAUUACCGUCCUCCUCAAAAAGAAGUAAACGCGGAAUCUAAAUUCACCUCAGAUAAAUCAAUCUCAGUGCACACCUUCGCAAAAACUGAGAAGUUGACACUGGAACUUUUGGACUGGAACUUUUUGGAAAUAACAAGAAAAACGGAGAUUCUGCAGAAAACGCCUCACACCGAGUAUGCUAUUGUUGAGAAGAAUCCUGUGAACCCAUCGUUACUGGAAGCUGUAAAACAGUAUAAUGUACUUUGGUGCAAAGCUUCGACCCAAAAGCACAAGAAUUGGGAAGAAGAAGCUGUCCUGGUUGUGAAAGAUAGAGGAGUUAUUCUUA